GAUGAAGAACGCAGCGAAACGCGAUACGUAAUGUGAAUUGCAGAUUUCAGUGAAUCAUCGAAUCUUUGAACGCACAUUGCGCCCGCUAGUAUUCUGGCGGGCAUGCCUGUUCGAGCGUCAUUUCAACCAUCAAGCCCUAGGCUUGCGUUGGAGCCCUGCGGCUGCCGCAGGCUCCCAAAUCCAGUGGCGGGCUCGUCGUCGUACCGAGUGCAGUAAACAUCCUCGCUCAGGGAACGUGACGGGUUCUUGCCGUGAAACCCCCCACAUAUCAAGGUUGACCUCGGAUCAGGUAGGAAUACCCGCUGAACUUAAGCAUAUCAAUAAGCGGAGGA
rnacentral:misc_RNA from 1 species